AGCAUAAUCAUUUGUCUUUUAAUUGAGGUCUGGAAUGAAUGGCUAGAUGAAAAAUUUACUUUCUUUAUUUUAAAAAAUGAAUUUGAUUUUUAGGUUAAAAAGCCUAAAUUUAAUUAUAGGACGAGAAGACCCUAUAGAACUUAAUUUUCCCCCAAAUAAUUAUUUUUUUAAAAAUAAUUUUUUCUUAUUUUGGGGGGAAAUUUUAUUGGGGUGAUAAAAAAAAAUUUAUAACUUUUUUACUUUAUAUCAUUAAUUUAUGAUUUUUUAAUCCUUUAUUAUGGAAUUUAGAUUAAGUUACCUUAGGGAUAACAGCGUUAUUAUUUUAGAGAGUUCUUAUUGAUAAAGUAGUUUGCGACCUCGAUGUUGGAUUAAAAUAAGCUUUAGGAGUAGAAAAUUAAUGGCUAGGUCUGUUCGACCUUUAAAUUUUUACAUGAUCUGAG
rnacentral:rRNA from 1 species